rnacentral:sRNA from 1 species
UUUUAGCCCUGAUGGAAAGCGGUAUCCUUUUGUGUAAUGCAAUGGAACAAAAGAUACAGCGGACAGCAGGAAACAGC